rnacentral:rRNA from 1 species
AUGAUUGAGAAGAUGAAUGGGGCGUGCGAUGAAAAUUUCCUGCGUGCUUGGUUGGCUGUUGCAUUCUCCUGCUUCCUUGCCCCAACCACAAGCUUGAGCAUCUCACCAAGGUGUUACACUGCUAUUCUUCACACAAGUGUUAUAAAAGACACCAAGAUAUGCGACUUUGUUAUUGAUCAACUAAGAUUGGCAUUCAUGGAUUUUGGUGACAACAAGAAGGCUGUUUGCUGCCGUGUUUUCCAUCUAGUUAUUUUCUAUUUGGAUUCAUUGGAUGUUGAUGAACCAAUACCUGCUACGCUUCCAAGGGCACGCAUCUGGAAUGAUGAUCUAAUAACCAAAGUCAUGAAGAAAGACAGGAAGGGUCCAGGAGUGUAUGGCAAGCUGCGUAAGCAAAAUAGGAUAACAUGA